GUGUGGUGCAAUGGGUCAGUGCGUCCGGCUGUUAAUCAGAAGGUUGGUGGUUCAAGCCCACCCAGGGAUG
rnacentral:tRNA from 1 species